AGGACGAACGCUGGCGACGUGCUUAACACAUGCAAGUCGAGCGGAAAGGCCCUUCGGGGUACUCGAGCGGCGAACGGGUGAGUAACACGUGAGCAACCUGCCCUUAGCUCCGGGAUAGCUCCGGGAAACCGGAAUUAAUACCGGAUACGACCACGGCCGACAUCUGCUGUGGUGGAAAGGAUUCCGGCUAAGGAUGGGCUCGCGGCCUAUCAGCUAGUUGGUGGAGUAACGGCCCACCAAGGCGACGACGGGUA
rnacentral:rRNA from 1 species